rnacentral:rRNA from 1 species
AUUGAACGCUGGCGGCAGGCCUAACACAUGCAAGUCGAACGAGUGGCAGACGGGUGAGUAAUGUCUGGGAAACUGCCCGAUGGAGGGGGAUAACUAAUGGAAACGGUAGCUAAUACCGCAUACCAUCGGAUGUGCCCAGGGGGGAUUAGCUAGUAGGUGGUGUAACGGCUCACCUAGGCGACGAGCCCUAGCUGGUCUUAGCGGAGUACAAGCCAACUUGGAAAUGAGACACGGUCCAGAUGCCUACGGGAGGCAGCAGUGGGGAAUAUUGCACAAUGGGCGCAAGCCUGAGGCAGCCAUGCCGCGGGUAUGAAGAAGGCCUUCGGGUUGUAAAGUACUUUCAGCGAGGAGGCGUUACUCGCAGAAGAAGCACCGGCUAACUCCGUGCCAGCAGCCGCGGUAAUUC